UUUGGCGUUCGGUUUGCGAUCGGCAAUGGCGUUCCCCACCGCAUGCAGCAAGUGGGUUUUACCCAGACCGGUACCACCAUA
rfam:Photobacterium halotolerans strain MELD1 scaffold20, whole genome shotgun sequence.